rnacentral:lncRNA from 10 species
AUUAGUCCUAGGCUCCAGAAGUAUUAUGGUGAUUAUCCUUAGGUUAAUUUUGGAGACAGGCUAUAGAGUUAAAGAGAAUGAGGAAGAUAUAGAAUCCAGCCACCUGCUAUUGAAACAUCUGUAGGCAUUUUUUAUUGCCUAGGCUAGAAGAUAACUGGGAACAGACUCAAGCAGCAAAAAAGAAUCUGGUCCAGAAGUGAGGCCGUGGGCAAACUAGAUACUGUACAGCAUAAAUCUAGGGGUGAGAGGUGGGGUGCCCCUGUUUGGGAUACACGCCUGGGGUCCCCAGUAACAUCGGGACUGUAAGGGUGGCUCAACCUUUCAGUGGCAUGAAGAAACCCCCUGCAGUGUCCACAGCUCCGCAUCUUACAGCCCCGCCCAAUUUGGUCAUAGGCAACCUCAGGAGACAGAGACGCUCACCCCAAAUUUCCUGGGGCAGUAUAGUUUCCACAGUGGGUGAGGGUGUUUUAUUCCAGAGAAAUAAUUCUAGUACUAUAGAAUUAAGUAUAGAGAUGAUGAAGUAAAUUGGACCCAUCAUCCUAAUAUUUUUGUGUGGUGUUGGGGAAUUAUGUUUGAAUAUGUGGCAACGUACUUGAAAUAUCUAAGAGAAUUUGGCAUAAUUAGAGAAUGCAAAUUGAACUUGUGAUUCCAGUAUAGAAUGCAGACAGAUGCUCUUCACCUUAAAAUGGGGCUAUGUCCUAAUAAAUCCGUAAGUUGAACAUAUCUUAAGUCCAAAGUGCAUUUAGUACUCCAAUAAACCCAAGUCAAAAGUUUAAGUCAUCCAUCAUGAAGUCCAGAUACUCCUCAAUUUAAAUAGGGUUAUGUUUUGAUAAAAAUCGUCAAACCAUCAUUAGUUGGGAGUUGUUUAUAGUUGAAUAUUUGGUUUAUCAUCAU